UUCACACUGUCACCCCCGUUAAGAUGUGAUCUUCUCACUGCCGGCAUGGAACUCCCUGAAGGCACGCUGCCAUUCGAAGUCCUCCCUCUUGAAGGAGAGCAAGACUGGCGUUUCGGUCGAGCAGCUGGCCCAGGCUCCACAGAGGAAGAUCUAGAACUAGGUGCUCCAGGCCUACCACGAGUAGCAGAGGUUGGUCUUUCCGGCAGCGACGUCCUCAGAUUUGGAGGCGCAUCAAGCGAGAAGCCGGGCAUUUCAGAUGGUUUCCAUGGUCUUGAUUUGACUGUAGGUGAGCUGCCCCUUGAAGGUGCUGGCGCCGUUGUUGUCGCUGCCGAUGCAGAGCUUUUGGGCAUUGUAGGUCCUGGUCUGGAGAUUGAGGAGGAUCGAACUGGUCCAGGCAAGUUACUGUGCUGGGUGUGGAUGGGAGGGGCAGAAGACCGCCUUGUUGGGGUUGAUGACCUUGAUGCAGGCUUGCUUUGUGCUGGUAAGGAGGGCCUCGACAAAGGUGUAGUUGACCUAGUAGCAGGCAUUGAUGAUCUUGAAGUAGGUGUUGAUGAUCUGCUAGCAGGUGCUGAUGCUCUACCUGAAGGAACUGAUGUCCUGGUAGCAGGAGUUGUUGACCUUGAUGAAGGCAGUGCUGACCUUGUUGAAGAAAGUGUUGACCUGGAAGUGGGCGUCGAAGAUCUUGGGGCAGUAGGUCCAGUCUUGGCAGGCAGAGUUGCCCGAGCAUUGGGGGAUGCAGGUCUUGAACCUUUGGAUGCGGUGGUCGAUGCAGCACGCCCAGUUGGUGUUGACGGUCUCGAAGAAUUAGAUGUAAGCCCUCCAGAUGAUGUCGGCCGACGAGUUGUCGCAGCUGAGUUUAAGCUGUUUGAUGAUGUUGUUCUCAAUGGAUGUGUGGUUCUUGAUGGAGGAUCUGGAUGGUUGGCCAACUAA
rnacentral:rRNA from 1 species